GAGUUCACUGCUCCUGCUGUUGAACUUCGCAACAACAAUCGCGUAAAUCAAUCGAUAAUACAAAAACUAUCCACAAAGAAGCCAGAUAUGAAGAGUAAAAUGAAUCUUCUUAAACUCAUUGCUUCUGAUAAGGGCAUUGUUGUGCAACUCAACGAUCAGGGUGAACCAUUCGGUUCGAUUCAAACUAGAAAACGAAGCAGGGAACAAAAUGAAGUUGUAAUUGCAACCACAAGCUCCUAUCAAACACGCAACUCCAGUCGCAAACUUAGACGUUGAUAUAUUUGUAUCUUUACUAUACUUCAUAUGCAAUAUUAAUACUCUAUCUAUUUUGUGGUUUCAACUUUUAAUUUCUACGCAUUUUUCGAAGAGUUCAAUUCAAUACUACUCGUUUGUUACUGGUGUUGGAUGAUUAUAAAUUGCAUUCUUAUCGUUCGUAAAUUUAUAAAUACAAUCUACUCUUUUUAAUA